GACGAACGCUGGCGGCACGCUUAACACAUGCCAGUCGAACGAGAGAAGAGAGGCUUGCUUUUCUGAUCUAGUGGCGGACGGGUGAGUAACACGUGAGCAAUCUGCCUUUCAGAGGGGGAUACCGAUUGGAAACGAUCGUUAAUACCGCAUAACAUAAUUGAACCGCAUGAUUUGAUUAUCAAAGAUUUAUCGCUGAAAGAUGAGCUCGCGUCUGAUUAGCUAGUUGGUAAGGUAACGGCUUACCAAGGCGACGAUCAGUAGCCGGACUGAGAGGUUGAUCGGCCACAUUGGGACUGAGACACUGCCCAGACUCCUACGGGAGGCAGCAGUGGGGAAUAUUGCACAAUGGAGGAAACUCUGAUGCAGCGAUGCCGCGUGAGGGAAGAAGGUUUUAGGAUUGUAAACCUCUGUCUUCAGGGACGAAAAAAGACGGUACCUGAGGAGGAAGCUCCGGCUAACUACGUG
rnacentral:rRNA from 1 species